rnacentral:rRNA from 1 species
UACGUAGGGGGGCGAGCGUUGUCCGGAUUUAUUGGGCGUAAAGAGCUCGUAGGCGGUUUUGGCAAGUCGGGUGUGAAACCUCCAGGCUCAACCUGGAGUCGCCACCCGAUACUGCUAUGACUUUGAGUCUGGUAGGGGAUCACGGAAUUCCUGGUGUAGCGGUGAAAUGCACAGAUAUCAGGAGGAACACCGGUGGCGAAGGCGGUGAUCUGGGCCAGUACUGACGCUCAAGAGCGAAAGCGUGGGUAGCGAACAGG